rnacentral:rRNA from 1 species
UACGUAGGGGGCAAGCGUUGUCCGGAUUUAUUGGGCGUAAAGAGCUCGUAGGCGGUUCCGUAAGUCGUGAAGUCAAAUCUCUGGGCUCAACCCAGAAUCGCUUCCGAUACUGCGGUGACUGGAGUCCGGUAGGGGAGUGUGGAAUUCCUGGUGUAGCGGUGAAAUGCGCAGAUAUCAGGAGGAACACCAACAGCGAAGGCAGCUCGCUGGGACGGUAUUGACGCUAAGGCGCGAAAGCGUGGGGAGCAAACAGG